GUGUAACCUUGCUGACAAGCACAGACCUGCAUGACAAUCCAGAGACGGGAGCUCCCCACUACACAGCUCACAGUAAUGAACAGUCUCGCAUUUGUCCUUUGUUGACCCAGGCCCAGAAAAGCAACAAAACCAGACAAAGGAUGC